UUUGACGCACGGAUUUCGAGAAAAUCCAAAAAUACAUGUUUUAUAUGUAUUUUGUGUGUUUCUUUCGAUUGGAACGAAAGUUUGGAUUUUGUCGUGAAUCCGUGGUCGAUCGUGGUGAAACAAAAUCGUAGCUUUGUUGUCUCCGAGGUGCUGAUCGCACUGGUGCAAUCCGUUCGCAAAUCUGACGGACGGAUCUGCGGAGAUUGCGCGUUGAUCGAGGAGAGGUCUGUGAUGGCCAAACGGUAAUUUCGCAAAAGUCGCGACAUUUUAUGUACCGUUUCGCGUGAAACCGCACGUAGAGGGGUAUUCGCGCGUUUUACUUGUGCUGUGAGGGACUCGGAGCUAUUUAUGGAGUUUGGAGGGACUUUUGCGCGAUUUAUCGCCUUAAGUAUUUAAGGCUUCUAGGGUUUUCCAUGAAACCCUAACCCUAAACCUAGCUCCAGCUAACCUAGCCGCCCUACCCCCCUUCUCCUCGUGCGCCGCGCCUCUCCCGGCCGCCGCCGACCGAGCCCUGGCCGGCAGCCACCGCCUCAGCCAUCAUCUUUCUCUCUCUCCAUAUCCCUCUCUUUCUCUCGG
rnacentral:lncRNA from 1 species